AAAAAUGUUUAUUAAGCUGAGUAACAAAAUACUUAUUGAAAGCAAGAUUAAGAUAAAUAACUGUGGCAACAUAUGUAAAUGUUAGAAUUUAAUUAAUUAAUGUAAUUAGUUAAUCGAAACGACUCCUUGGCGACCAAUCGUGGGAGCGAUCGAUUCCGAUUGUGCUCGUCGCUUUGCCUAUUCCCCUUUCUAGCCUUUUUUCUUUUUUGGAAAAGCCCCAGACGUGCGCCUAUUCCCUUUUCCUUUUCCAUCCCCUCCUCCACUGCAGUUGCCCUGCUGCUUCCCCUUCCCCUCCUCGGCGAGGCGCCUCACGAGCGCCGCAAGGGAGGUGGCUAGUACGGCGAGGCGCCGCGCCCACACGAGCGCCGCGAGGUCAAGGGCAGCAAAGGGUAGCAUCAGGCAAUACGGUGAGGUGCAGCAACCGCACGGGCUCCGCGAGUUUCAGGGCCGGAAGCGGCCAAUACGGCGAGGCUGUGCCUGUUCGGCGCCCGUACGGCCUUGCUCCUGUGCCUCCUACCUGAGCUGGACCUCCCCCCGUGCGUCGUCCCCACCCGCAUCACCAAGCUUCCCAACGGUGUCCGCAACUCCGCGUCGCCUCAGAGGAUGUCCAGGAGGAGGAAUUGAUUCUCAGACCACAAAAACAACAGAACAACAGGGAUGAUAUUCAAGUUGACAUAUCUCCAUAGAGAAUCUAACCUCUCCAGGGAUAAGUAAGAUGAAAAACAACCAUUGAAAGCGCCACAAAGUAUUUCAAAGAAACAUAAUAUCAAACGGAGUCCAAACGGAAUGAAACCUUCGGGAUCGUG